rnacentral:rRNA from 1 species
GACGAACGCUGGCGGCGUGCUUAACACAUGCAAGUCGAACGAGAAGAGAUGAGAAGCUUGCUUCUUAUUGAUUCGAGUGGCAAACGGGUGAGUAACGCGUAAGCAACCUGCCCUUCAGAUGGGGACAACAGCUGGAAACGGUUGCUAAUACCGAAUACGUUCUUUUUGUCGCAUGGCAGAGGGAAGAAAGGGAGGCUCUUCGGAGCUUUCGCUGAAGGAGGGGCUUGCGUCUGAUUAGCUAGUUGGAGGGGUAACGGCCACCAAGGCGACGAUCAGUAGCCGGUCUGAGAGGAUGAACGGCCACAUUGGGACUGAGACACGGCCCAGACUCCUACGGGAGGCAGCAGUGGGGAAUCUUCCGCAAUGGGCGAAAGCCUGACGGAGCAACGCCGCGUGAGUGAAGAAGGCCUUGGGUCGUAAAGCUCUGUUGAAGGGGACGAAUGUACAGCUUAUCAACAACGAGCUGUAAUG